GAUGAACGCUGGCGGCGUGCCUAAUACAUGCAAGUCGAACGCAUUGUGGUUGAAAUGAUAUGAAGAACUUGUUCAGAUUUGAUUUUCAACAUUGCAAUGAGUGGCGAACGGGUGAGUAACACGUGGGAAACCUACCUCUUAGCAGGGGAUAACAUUUGGAAACAAAUGCUAAUACCGUAUAAUAAUUAAAACCGCAUGGUUUUAGUUUAAAAGAUGGUCUUGCUAUCACUAAGAGAUGGUCCCGCGGUGUAUUAGUUAGUUGGUGAGGUAAUGGCUCACCAAGACAAUGAUACAUAGCCGAGUUGAGAGACUGACCGGCCACAAUGGGACUGAGACACGGCCCAUACUCCUACGGGAGGCAGCAGUAGGGAAUCUUCCACAAUGGACGAAAGUACUGAUGGAGCAACGCCGCGUGUGUGAUGAAGGGUUUCGGCUCGUAAAACACUGUUGUAAGAGAAGAAUG
rnacentral:rRNA from 1 species